CCUGAGAUAGGGGAUGCUCCCAGGAGUCAAUGAGGGUGACUUUAAACAAGGUGUCUGACAGUGAAGACAUAUAUCCUGAAGAGGUCAUCUCUUGUAGCCAGGCAGGAACCCCCAGUGGAGAGAUAAGGACACUAGCCCACCUACAAACUUUUGACCCCAAUUUUGUCCUGUUUAAAAGAAAUACAGGGACAAAGUUGGGGCAGAGACUGAGUGAAUGGUCAAACAACAGUUGGCCUAAUUUAAGAGCUAGCCCAUGGACAAGCACCAAUCACUGACAAGACCAAGGUACUAGCCUGAGAAGCCUUUGCACAAAAUUUAAAAAAAGUAUGACUUCAUUCCCAUUUAUUUGCCAUUCUGUAAAAAUAUCUUCCCUAGGUAUCCCCAAGGGAAGAAUGAGUGUGAUCUGGGGAUAAUUUAAGGUCCUUGGGUCAUGAUAUUACUCAAAAAAUACCUCUGUCUAUGCCCUAAAUUGUACUAGAUGAAAAAAAUGUUGGCAAACAAAAUGUCAGUAUGAUGGUGUACAGAGUUGUGGGUAAAAUCCUUCGAAAAGAAGACUACAAAAACAGAGCAGAUAUGAGGGAAGUCAGGAGCAGCCUCUACAGUGGUGAAAGUCCUGCCCAUAUAAAUUAGAAAAUAAAAAUAGAAAGCAGUUCAAAAGAAUUGUAUAUGGAUGUAACUGUUUAAUCCUAUGCAUAAAGGAGUCAAACCAAUCUCUUCUUAUAAAUGUAGGUUUUAUUAAUGUAGCAACUGCAAAAAGGGAUUAAGUAGAAGCAUGUUGGAAGCUAUUUUCCUUUACACACCUUAUCCAGUCUUAAAUCUGUGCGACUAAGCAGUAAUAGUGAUUACAGGAUUCUUUUAAGUUUAAAAUGCAUUUUAAUAUGCUGAUACUGCAUUACCUCUCAGAAAGUUUCCAUAUUUAAGGCAACUGGGACAAAUCAAACACAGUGCAGCAAUAACAAAUGCACAGAAGAACCACUCAAGAGAGGCAGGAGAAAAGCUGCUGUGAGCUUGUAGAACACAGGAUCCCUAUUCCAAAGGCUAGCCUAUACCUAUGGUAAAACACUAUGAACAGCGACAUCUUAGACACAAAACCAUCAUUCUUUGGUGAUCCUUUCCUGCAAAAAAGAUGAAGGUAAAUUUACAGAAGAUUUUUUCUUUUGAUAUAGCAAAUGGAAGUCUCAAAAGGGAAAUCUCUUCCAUAGAGCACAAAUGUGUAGAAUAUGGACUCUUAGAGCGUUGUGUGUAUGCUUUAAUCUGUGAAUGUUUGUUGGAAUUGUACCUGGGAAUGAAUGCAGAAGCUGGGCCAGGGCAUUGUGGGAUAUUUUAACUUUGCAGCAUAUGUACCAAUGUCUCUGGGAUUGAGAGGCAUAAGGACGAAAAAGCAAUCAAAACAUAGUGGCUACAAACAGGCAACCCAAAGAAGAAUAAAUAUAUUAAAGGGCUCUAAAUUAAUCCAUUUUGCUAUGGCUCCUAGGCUCUCAAGAAUCACAUGAUGCUCUAGGAAUGUACUGCACAGACUGGUUAAUCAGUAUACCAUACAUACCUUGAUGCUGAAGGAGUCACCACUAUACUCUUGCCUUCUACCACCAAGCUUGCUCUCUAGAUAAGUUUAGGUAGGGAAGACCCAUCUAUUGGGAGGAAAUCCUUAACAUCUUCACAAGGUAGAAUUUUCACCAGUCCAAAAGAGGUGUAGGUCUCUCCCUCUCCCUCCCUCUUUCUCUCUCUCUGUGUGUGUGUGUGUGUGUGUGUGUGUGUGUGUGCGCGCAUGUGUGUGCGCGCGCGUGUGUGUGUGUGUGUUUAAAGAGAUGUGUGAAACUAGACACUGAAACUUUGUUAGCAUUGAAUGACAUUUGUUUGGAGCAAAUUUAACUCCAAGCUUCACAUGGUUGACUUUGCUGAUGACUCUGAUUCCUUUCAUUAAAGCAACUUAGCUAAAGCGCCCAUUCGUUGAGGCUGGUUCUGAGGUUGCAUCCAGGCCUGUUCUUAUUUCUUCCUUUCUCACAUCAGGGAAAGUUUAUUUGAACUCUUCCUGCUAUGGCUGUACCAUCGCUUCUGACAGUAUCCUUACUUGUUCCUCACAGUGUCUAGUUUCCCUCUCUUGUCCCAACACUCUCUGCUUUGGUCCUCGUCCCUCUUGGCUGUAGUGGCUCUUACAUUUUCCUAAGUGUUUCAUAGUGCCCUAUGAAAUACUAUAUCAUUAACAUGACCUAGAAUUCAUGGUAAGCUUCCUGUUCAUGAACACCAGCUUCUCAUGAUCUACGGUGAUGAUACAGUCUGCUUGGUCCUAUUCCCUCUCCAUGCCAAUGACUUCCCAAGCAUGGCAUCCUCCCACUCAGAGGAGGCAGGUCAUGCAAGUUUGGGUGGCUGCUCACAUUAUGUGUGAAAUCUCUAUUGUUUUGUAACCAGCUUCCCUAGAAUUCCUUCUGUCUUCUUUUUGGCCUAUGGAGUCCAUGAUCAGAGGCCGAGGAAAUGUGAUUAACUGUAGUAAGCUUUCUUGCAUCUGUCCCAAGUUUUCCAAGCAGCUGGCUUCCCUCAAUGAUGAACUCAAUGAGAAUUUAACUGUGCCUUUUCUAGAGGGUGUUCCACAGUCAUCUGCAAUGACUAACAGCUCCCUUCUCCUGGCCAAACACAGAGAGAACAUCUUCUAGUUCUCAGUAGAGAAGAUGUUGGAUCAUGAAGGAUGAAUAUUGACAGGUCAACAGUGAACGGCCCAGUUCCAUUUUGGCAAUUUCUGCUAGAGUUCAUUCUUCUCAGCAGAUAGAGCUAAAAUCUUUACCCUUAACAGAAAAACAUUCCCUCUCAUCCCAUGUCUAUUUUAUAGUUUCCUCUUUUCUUUUUCAGUGAUGCUGGUGGGGAGAGGAGAAGAUUGAUUAUAGUUAUGAUGGGUGAAGGUCUUCUGGUUUCCUGGGCUUCUUCGGCUCAGUACUCAAACUCAUUCUUGUUGGUUUGCUGUUUAUGUGAAGGGAUUGGCAGUGGGGUAGUGUCUACUGGUCUACUGGAAGUGAUGGUGAGAUGUUUCAUUGCCUGGUGCAUUUGCAUCCUUCUACUUACACUUCUCUGAAUAUUGACUGAAUAUCACCUCAAAAGUCUUAGUCUACAUAACAUGAUAGUUUGCAGCUUCUUCAAACUCCCACAAUCAGAUGACAUGAUUCUCUAGAAAUAAGAAAUACAGAGAACAAAACACAUGAUGGGAAUGGUUUAUUUAUGCUUAUUUGAGAAUAAUCACUGUUAUUUAAAAUGUAAUAUUUAAAUAAAUGUAGCAACUAAAUGAUAAUCUAGCAUUGAAUUUAUAAGAAUUAUGACAAUGAAUUAAGAAAGUAUUUAAAAGGUAGAAUGCUUCCAAAUCAAGUGUAUUAGAUGUAUAAGCCAAAUUAAAAUAUUGGAAGAAAUAAAUGAAGGACAGAUAAAGUUUGAUUUGUUCAAUUGAAGUUAAUGACAUACUAAUUAAACUUAAACAAAAGCCAGACUGAUAGGAUUUGAACUCGGGGUUUUCCUCUAUUGGCUCUGUGAUCCUGUGCAAUUAACAAAUGUCAUGUUAUUCUGUUUUCUCAUUUAUGAAAUACAGAUAAUAACUGUCCUUCCAACUAUGUUGAACUGCAGUCUUCCGGUGGGGGCCCUCCAGAUGCACCUGCUGCUGUGAAUGGCAAAAUAGAGAUUGUAACCCUGUGGUUUGGUGUUUUUCAACCCUCGGUGUCGUUCCUUCUUGGUCUCUUAGCCCCCAGCCCUCCUCAUUUCCCUCCUUCCUCUCUUUUAGGAGAGGACGCGGCUGAAAUCGAAAGCCCUCUGGACUGGAAGGCACGCACAGGGUUCAUGGAGACAGGCUGAUCAUGAAUGGCGUGUGAAGGAGUGUGAAUGGAGGCAUAAUUCUUGAGAAGACAAUGAGGAGAGAGAUUUAAGUAUUUCACAUUACUGGAAUGUCAACUCCUUUUGAAGAGUCACAUGACCUGUCUGUAUGUCCUGCAUGAGGAUGAAGCUGAGCAGAAUUUAGAUGAAGAGUUCGUAGGGACAGGAAACUUCCCACACGUGAGACCACAGAGGUGUCAAAGACAACGCUCAUUGGUACAGCUGAAUAUUCGUCGUGACCUUUGCAGUUAUAAAUGCUAUCACAGGACCAAUGAGAUGCCUUAGCAGGCCCUCUGAAGGAUCCUCCAUUUAGCACCACCACGCUGGGACCAAGCUUCCACACAGGAAAAUAGCAGAGCCUUUCAGCCACGAGACCCGAGCUGUUCGAUUUCAUAUGGUGUGGAAAGGAAAUAGAGACACUGCCUGUGUGAAGGUCAUAUAAUGUUAUUUUCUUAAGAGCUACUUUUUAUUAUGCGCAUGCCUGUGAGUCUGUGUGUGUAUUUGUGCAUGCACAGAGGCCAGAUGAGCAUUUGGACUCCCUGGAGUUACCUGGCUUACAGGUAGUUGUGAGCUAUCAAACUCUGGUCCUCUGUAAGAGCAACCAACAUUGGUAACCACUGAGCUAUCUCUCCGCCAACUGUGUUAUCUUUUCCAGAAUUUCACCUUUCACCAUGUUUUGUUGGCUUACAAUUAAAGCUGUAUAUUUCUGGCCAAAAUAGAGGAUGGUGUUGAAAAAGACAGAUUUAAAUUGCCAAGUGAGCCAAAAAAUAAAAAAUAAAAACCAUAAAAGGUAUUGUUCGGGGACAUUGCUCAGUGGGAGAAUGUUUGCCUGGCAUGUGCAAGACCCAGGCCUUGAUCCCUAGCAUGACAAGGGGACAGGGGAGAGAAUGAGAAUUAAAGUUUAUCAUUAUUGUAGAUAAAGAUAUUGUAGAUUCUUGUUGAUAAAAGUGAAAAGUUUACUUUUGAUGUUAUGGGUUACUUGAGGUUAGUGAACAACUAUGUUACAUGGAGCAGAAAUUGAUAGAUGUUACAUAUUUUUAUAAAUGUCUCUGUACUGGAAGUAACGGAAAUAGAAGGAGAUAAUAGUUGUGAUCCAAAUGUCAUAAAACUAUUCUAAUUCACUUUAAAAUAUUAUUAAAUAUAAAUAAUGUCACAAUGGCAUUUUACAUAAGAUGUCUUGAUUUAUAGAUAUUUAUACUCACAUUUUCAUUUAAAAUUAUCAACAAAUAUUUCUUUUAUUGUAAAG